UAGAAUACUUUUUGGUAGAAUUGCACGAGAUGUAACUAAAACAGAAGAAAUUUUGGAAAAAUGUUGAAAAUUCACCGAGUUACAUCGAAGAAUAGGUGCAAAUGUGAACAUUUUGUAUGGAAAACAACAGUUGGUGCACCAAACUUUGUACCGCGAAUAACUUUUUUGCCCGGCAUCGGAGCGCAUGGUCGUGGAACAACUUUUUGUAGCGCGUCACGAGACGCAUCUAAUUCUGAAGAAAGAUCGAGAAAAUGUUGAAAAUUGGCCGAGUUAUGGCAGGUGAAAGAAAAAGCUUAGGUCGCGAAUAACUUUUUUGCCCGACAUCGGAGCACAUGGUCGUGGAAGACUUUUAGCUUGCAUUUGUCGAGAUCUAUCCAAAUCACAAAGAAAAUCCAAAAUCGGUCGGUAAAUGACUGAGAUAUGGGCAAAAAUAGGUUGAAACGUGGCACCGGGGUUGAACGGGGUUGAAAUAGGCACCUUACUCGGUGGACACAAAUCGGUACAUAAAACAGGUUUUUCGCGAAUAACUUUUGUGCCCUACGUCUGAGCACAUGGGUGUAGAAUACUUUUUGGUAGAAUUUCACGAGAUGUAACUAAAACAGAAGAAAUUUUGGAAAAAUGUUGAAAAUUCACCGAGUUACAUCGAAGAAUAGGUGCAAAUGUGAACAUUUUGUAUGGAAAACAACACUUGGUGCACCAAACUUUGUACCGCGAAUAACUUUUUUGCCCGGCAUCGGAGCGCAUGGUCGUGGAACAACUUUUUGUAGCGCGUCACGAGACGCAUCUAAUUCUGAAGAAAGAUCGAGAAAAUGUUGAAAAUUGGCCGAGUUAUGGCAGGUGAAAGAAAAAGCUUAGGUCGCGAAUAACUUUUUUGCCCGACAUCGGAGCACAUGGUCGUGCAAGACUUUUAGCUUGCAUUUGUCGAGAUCUAUCCAAAUCACAAAGAAAAUCCAAAAUCGGUCGGUAAAUGACUGAGAUAUGGGCAAAAAUAGGUUGAAACGUGGCAUCGGGGUUGAACGGGGUUGAAAUAGGUUGAAAUAGAGGUUUUUCGCGAAUAACUUUUGUGCCCUACGUCUGAGCACAUGGGUGUAGAAUACUUUUUUGGUAGAAUUUCACGAGAUGUAACUAAAACAGAAGAAAUUUUGGAAAAAUGUUGAAAAUUCACCGAGUUACAUCGAAGAAUAGGUGCAAAUGUGAACAUUUUGUAUGGAAAACAACAGUUGGUGCACCAAACUUUGUACCGCGAAUAACUUUUUUGCCCGGCAUCGGAGCGCAUGGUCGUGGAACAACUUUUUGUAGCGCGUCACAAGACGCAUCUAAUUCUGAAGAAAGAUCGAGAAAAUGUUGAAAAUUGGCCGAGUUAUGGCAGGUGAAAGAAAAAGCUUAGGUCGCGAAUAACUUUUUUGCCCGACAUCGGAGCACAUGGUCGUGGAAGACUUUUAGCUUGCAUUUGUCGAGAUCUAUCCAAAUCACAAAGAAAAUCCAAAAUCGGUCGGUAAAUGACUGAGAUAUGGGCAAAAAUAGGUUGAAACGUGGCACCGGGGU